GCUCGUGCUCUGCAGACACAGACUUCUAAGCAAGAACUCACAGCAAAUCCAAAUUGAAAAUGAAUUGAGCUGGGGAAGAAAAGUUAACGCCUUCUCCUGUCCUGACUGCCCUGGGAUCAUCUGGAGGUAUAACCACGUAAAUCCCCUGAGGAUACGUCUCCAACUCUCCCUUAACAUGCUGUUCCCUGAUCACGUUGGAAAUCCACCCAAUUUAGAUUUAAUCUCAGUGAAAUCUAUCCACAACUGACUUUCUAAAUUUGCAAUACUAUUUUUUUGGCACUUUUUUGUAUGUUAUUAUGUUUAGGUGUAUUUCUGCUGAAGACAUCCCAAAGCCUGUUUCUCUGUUGGGGCAUCUGUGUAUGGAGAGCAAGGGUCCCUAAAAACUAGAGAUGAAACUAUUGACUAAGACUCCAGCAUAGGAGCAAAUUGCUUCCUCUGUCACUCAUUGCUGCAUGAUGUUAGAAUUGUACCUACUCCCCGCCUUUGUUUGCUUACCUAAAACAUGACCAUAGUAUUUUCCAAAUAUUUUUUACUUUACAAGUUAAGAUGCUGCAUUGCAUGGAGCAGAAGUACAACCAUUCACCCCACCCAAAAAGGAAGCUCCGAGCUUGUAAUGAAUGGGUUCAUAAAAUUUAGAAGUAAAAAAUAAAUAGUAAGUUGCAUGGAAAGAUACAGAAACAGAUGGAUUUAUAUAAAUUCAGGUUGUAAAGGUUUGUGCUUUUUUUUUUCUUUAAAUUAAAUAAUUGUAAGCAGUAACCAGCUGUAGUAUUAUUCUUCACUGUGUAAUCUGCACAGUGAAAUGUAAACAGGGGGUCAGGCUCUCCUGUGGCCAUCUGACCCUCUCAGCAGGAAAAGGGGGCACUGAGAGAGGCUGUGCACAGAGGAGCGUACAAGGAUAUUCAUGAGCUGGGAACUUUUGCAGCAAAAAAUAGCUUUCCUGCAUAGUCAAUGGUGCAUAGCGUUUGGUUUAAAAACCCUUAUUAAAUUAAGAGGAGCUUUCUGCAUCCAGCAGCCUUUGCUGCUGCUGUCGUGUACUUCCAUAAUGUUGUUGAGAACACUGGAGCUUAAUAUCAACUUGAAGGUUUAGAAAAAUGCAAUAACAUUCAGAUACAACUUGAUUACAGACGGAACAGAGAUACGGAACAUGAAAACUGAUAUGUCUGGGGAAUCUAGCUCUUCUGAAUCUCUUUGUUCCUCAGAAAAAUUCCUUCUUAAAAAAUAAACGUCUAUCUGUAUGUAUAUAUGCAUUCCUUUGUCAACACAGGAAGAUGGAGGGAUUGGC